GUACAAAUCACAAAUGUGGGAACCAGGAAAAGUUGGUUCAACUACACUUGCACUUCCAUAAAAUGUAGAAAGGGUGUGGAGCCCAACCCAAGUAACGUGUUUUGGUGUGACUCAUGUAACACUGAGAUUUGAUGAUAUCACCGAUAACGAGUUGUCUGGGGCUCAUGGAAGAAAAAGGCGUAUAGUGAUGUCGGACUCAGAAGAUGAGCUCGAAGAGGAUUCGAAAGGCAAGAAACAAGCAUACUAUGAACCAUAAAAAACAUCAAUCAUAAUAAGUUUUCAACAUACAGACUUGAAUCACUGUUUCCUUAAGCAUUUUCUUUUACGUGUUGAGGUGCAACUCAUCAUUGUCUCCAUCGUAUGUUUAUGA